rnacentral:rRNA from 1 species
GACGAACGCUGGCGGCGUGCUUAACACAUGCAAGUCGAACGGAAAGGCCCUGCUUUUGUGGGGUGCUCGAGUGGCGAACGGGUGAGUAACACGUGAGUAACCUGCCCUUGACUUUGGGAUAACUUCAGGAAACUGGGGCUAAUACCGGAUAGGAGCUCCUGCUGCAUGGUGGGGGUUGGAAAGUUUCGGCGGUUGGGGAUGGACUCGAGGCUUAUCAGCUUGUUGGUGGGGUAGUGGCUUACCAAGGCUUUGACGGGUAGCCGGCCUGAGAGGGUGACCGGCCACAUUGGGCCUGAGGUAGGGCCCAGACGGCUACGGGAGGCAGCAGUGGGGAAUAUGGCACAGUGGGCGGAAGCCUGAUGCAGAGGCCCCGCGUGCGGGAUGACGGCCUUCGGGUUGUGAACCGCUUUCGCCGGUGACGAAGCGUGAGUGACGGUAAUGGGUAAGGAAGCACCGGCUAACUACGUG